ensembl:lncRNA
CCUGAGGAAGGAGCACUGCGCAUGCGCGGGGCUCAGCCUGCAGUACUACCCGACGGCCAGCAGGGGGCAGCAGAGAGCCGCAGCGCUGCGGGUUGGUGCGUGAACCGCAAUAGCCGGAGCGCCGCAAAAGGAUCGGGAAGCGAGAAGGGAAAGGCAUCGUUUCAAAGCGAUACGGGUAAAACAACACCUGAUCACCGCCCGAUCCUUGUCCGGAUGCUGCUCGGCAACAGAAAGCCGCAUUUCCAGGAAUGCACCCAAACCACCCUCAUGGUGCCCCUGGAGAGCAGCGUGGUCUGAGCCCUUCCCUCUCAUUUUGCUUCCUUAAUGAGUUGAGCUGUUCCUGCAUGGACAGCCUGAGCUGUAACACCAACCAUAACCCCAUCCCUCUCCGUGAAGAGAAUCUGCUUUGCUGUCUUUGCAGCCCGGCCCUGCGUGGUGCAGCAGGUAACUCCUAUAGGGUUGGGCUGUGGAUCCUGGCAAGCUGCAGCUGGGAGGGCCUCAGCCCAAAGCUGAACUGCUUAGGGGAAGGCAAAGCCUUUGUAGGACCCUACAGCAUGGGGGCAGAUUGCAUUGGUGCGGCCUGAUUGGCUGCAACAGCCUUCAACCCCUAACCCUAAUAGGAGCCCUAAAGAAACUGCAUCAUGACCCUAAUAGGAGCCCUAAUAGGAGCCCUAAAGAAACUGCAUCGACCCCCAAUAUAGAUCUAAACCUGACCCUUAACGUGGUGUUAAUCUCUUUGUGUAGCAAUACAAAUGAUGCUAAAAGUUUACAAUGACAUAACCUUAAUUGUAAUGCCAGAAACAGUCGUUAAAGGAGCCGUAAUCCUAACCCUAAAAUUAUAUCAACUUAGAUUAUAUUAAAUAAAUUAUAUUAAAUUAUAUUAAAUCAACCUUAAUUAUAACCCUGAUCACCCUGACAAUAAUGGUAAUAGCCCUAAAAAUCCCCUAAAAACAAUCCAGGGAAGUCAUCCUAAGGGUGUUUUCCUUGCUUUCCCCUAUCUCUCCCCUUGCCUCCCCUGUGUUGCACUUUAGGGUUCGAUGCUCGUGAUGGAAGUGCUGCCCCAUUGGGUUGUAUUGCAUCACUUUGUGCCUUGGAUCUCUCUAUGGGGCACCAGAACCCCAUUUGUGGGGUCUGAUUAUGGGGUCUGAAUAGUGGGGCACCAGAGCCCUAACCCUGACCCCAAACCUCAUCCUAAUAGCCCCAACCACAACCCCAAUGGGACCCCAACACCAAAAGUAACGCUGAUCAUAAGCCCAACGACCCUAAAGAGAGCUGUCAUAACCUGAGGGGUGCACUGCUACUGGGGUGGGCUCAAGGAUUUGGCUCCUAUAGGCUCAUUCAGUGUUCUGGGGUGGAUGCAGGGGGCUUGGGCUGAGGGUUUGGGACCCCCAUAGCAGGACAUGGUGGGAGAUGGGGUUCGAGGGUUGUGGUUAGGGGUGUGGGGACUGCAUGAGGGCGAUCCCACGUUGGCAGCCCAUUGCCUUCCCCAGCCCCCCCUCGCCCCCCAGUGGCACAUAGCACUGCCCCCAGGCAGCUCUAUGGAGCUGUGCAGCCAUUGCCAAUCAGUGGGGGAUGAAAGCUGGCGCUGCAUAAAGGCAGCAAAACUAAACGAGAGAAGCAGCAGCAUCAGGGCCAAGCAGGCAGCCCGGCUCUGCCUUUCCUCCUCCCCAGCACUGCGUUGGUGUGAUGUUUGGGAGCACCCUGUGAGCCCCACGUGGAUUUCCUUCCCCCACCAUCCCCCUGUGAGCUCCCACCUCCUCCUGCCCGAGCCAUGGGUGGCACAAACCGCCCCUCUCCCCCAUAAAGCCCCGAUUGUCACCAUCCACGUGCAGGGUUUGGAACGCCGUCAGGGCUGCUGGCUCACCACAGCCUCUUCCCAGCAGCCAACGUUUGGCAUUCCCCAUCCAAUCCCCUCCACGCAGCUGCACUCGGUCACAAUGGUCCCUUCUUGCCACCGUCCCCCACCCCCCCAUGCCAGGAGGAGCCACCUUCCCUGCUUGGAGUGAAGCAGUAAAAUCCAC